ACUUGAAUAGACCAGUGGAUAAGACGCCUUGAAAUUUUAAAUGUGUAACAAGAUUUCAUCUUUCAAGGAGACGGGGGUUCGAUUCCCUCUUUGAGUG